UUUUUUAUCCUUUUGAAAUUUAGAGCAAGCUUUGUACUUUUAUUUCCAGGGAUGAUUUUUUUAAUGAGACAACUACUAAUAAAGAUCGAUAUUUCUCCCAUAUGACACUUUGCCUCAUUCUUUAGAUUCUUUUGUAUUUGUUUUUCCUAACCCUUUUCAAGUAUUUGGACAAAAAAGGUGCACGGCCCAUAAAGGCUACACGGGCCUCGAGUGAGCCUGUUUAGCUAAACCCCGCCCCACGACCCAUGGAAUGAAACCCCGCCCCACAACCCAUCCCGCCUCCAGGCUCCAGCCGCCCAUGAUUUCCCUGCGGGCGAAGCCGGGACGGAGGGAGACGACGCGCGGGGCUUGAGUCCCCGUGCUCGCUCUUGUUCGGCACACGGAGGAGAUGGAGCCCAGGGAUUCGACGUUUGCGCCGAGUUAGCCGCCGCGGUGGCGGGGGUCAAAGGGGCUCGUUGCCGGCGAGGGUGCGGCAGCGGCGACGAUCUGGGCGCCAUCCCCACCCACUGCGGCGUCGGCCUUCACGGAGUUCGAUCCUGCCGCGUCCCAUUCCUCGGGAUGCGCUCCAAAGACUUACACGCUCGUGAUUCUCUGAGGUCUGGAAAUGGGAUAGCUACAGUUCAGUCCAUCCCACACUAGAUUCUUCGGGGCGCAUGGGUCACCCACCCAGUUUUUGAUCAACCGGUACUUGGCCUUGAUCGCAGUGAUGGCUGAUACUAUUUUUUCAGUAACACAAGCGGAAAAAGCAGUGCAAGUCAGCUCAUCCACAUCUAUGUAUACGAGUAAGAAAAUUCUAGUCAUCAACUGACAGCGGCAUGAUCAGUUGGCCGUCAGUCAUCUCUCUGUCAUGUAUAUAUUUUAAAUUCACCUGCUUGUUUAAAAAAAAAUAUAUGGAGGCACUACUUUUUCUAGGUAUAAUAUGAUAUGGGUAUGAUUCCAUACUCACCAUCCUGAGCGUCGGUCCCAACACCGGCGGUGGAAAUAGGGGUGAAAAGCUCGGCGGCAUUGAUGAAUGGCGGCAGUAUUGUGGAGUUGAUCUCCAUGAUCGGCCGCAGUACUGUCGCGUUGGCGGCUCCUAGUAUGACGAGGUUCUCCUUUGGGCUGACAAACGGGACGGGUCCGGUAGUCCUGGAGACAACGGUGGUGACAAGGUAAUCAAAGUCGCCUAUGAGCCACGAAGCAGAAGAGUUGGGCCGCUUGAGGCUGAUGAGGAACAUGCGCCGCUCCUGCUUGCUGUCCACGGUCUCGAGCUCCGCCAAAUAGAAGACUGGCAGAAGCCUGCAACGGGUCAACCGCAAGGCAACCAACCAUCCAAUAGCUAGCUUGCAGGUACAUCUGCAAAUUAUUGGCGUCAAGGUCAACCUUGCGAAAGAACAGAACAAGUAAGCAGAUUGCUCCAUGAUUACCGGGGUAUAAAGUAGAGAAAUACGAUAACUAUGGGAAGCCAGCCACCCUGGCUUAGGUUGACUCGUUGCUGGGCCAACCAGCCGUUCAUCACACCGUACAAGGUGUACUCUAUUUCCCCCAACAAAAGCAAAGUAUCAAGCACACAAGUCUAAAAUACUAUGUGAUUGCCUGUGUGUGUUUCCCUUUGGAUUGGAGGGUGGUGACCUAAUGCGGCCACGGUAGCGGAGAUCAGCUGCGGCAAUCGUGGUGAUGCGACGGACAGACCGGUGGCUUGGUUCCUCGGCACCGGCAGUGGAUCCGAAUUCCCGCGGCAUGGCGGGUCUCUACUGGCCUUGUACGUGGAGUCCCCUGGCUUUUCAUGGCGAUCAUUCUUUCAUGGCUUGAGCGAAUGGAGGGCGUUCUUGGCUCCAUGAAUAGCUUUUGUCGUGGAUGGAUUGUCAGCGUGCUCGGGCAUGGUUAUCAAUCGUGUGGCAAUGUCCAUGUCAGAGUCAUGCGCGUCAGCAUGGUCUUCGUUGGAUCACCAAGUGGUGACGGCGGAACAUGUGACAUCAUGUUGGUGCUGCUUUCUCCACCGUCCAUCUCGUCUUUCAUGUAAAAAUGCUAGGUCUGAUCUUAAUUGGUUUGUAUUAUCAGGCAAAGGGUCCUUCCAUAUUUUUCCUUUGUUCAAAGUAUUGUUUUGUGUUUGUUUGAACUUGAACUACUAUUUUUCUAAGAAAAAACCUUCACGGCGUUUUUUA